GACGAACGCUGGCGGCGUGCUUAACACAUGCAAGUCGAACGGAAAGGCCCUGCUUUUGUGGGGUGCUCGAGUGGCGAACGGGUGAGUAACACGUGAGUAACCUGCCCUUGACUUUGGGAUCACUUCAGGAAACUGGGGCUAAUACCGGAUAGGAGCUCCUGCUGCAUGGUGGGGGUUGGAAAGUUUCGGCGGUUGGGGAUGGACUCGCGGCUUAUCAGCUUGUUGGUGGGGUAGUGGCUUACCAAGGCUUUGACGGGUAGCCGGCCUGAGAGGGUGACCGGCCACAUUGGGCCUGGGAUACGGCCCAGACUCCUACGGGAGGCAGCAGUGGGGAAUAUUGCACAAUGGGCGGAAGCCGGAUGCAGCAACGCCGCGUGCGGGAUGACGGCCUUCGGGUUGUAAACCGCUUUCGCCUGGGACGAAGCGUGAGUGACGGUAAUGGGUAAAGAAGCACCGGCUAACUACAUG
rnacentral:rRNA from 1 species